rnacentral:rRNA from 1 species
CGGAGGGUGCGAGCGUUGUCCGGAAUCACUGGGCGUAAAGGGCGCGUAGGCGGCCUGAUAAGUAGGGGUGAAAUCCUGCGGCUUAACCGCAGGGCUGCCUUCUAAACUGUCGGGCUUGAGCACAGUAGAGGCAGGUGGAAUUCCCGGUGUAGCGGUGGAAUGCGUAGAGAUCGGGAAGAACAUCAGUGGCGAAGGCGGCCUGCUGGGCUGUUGCUGACGCUGAGGCGCGACAGCGUGGGGAGCAAACAGGAUUAGAUACCCUGGUAGUCCACGCCGUAAACGAUGGGCACUAGGCGUCGGGGGGAGCGACCCUCCCGGUGCCGUCGCUAACGCAGUAAGUGCCCCGCCUGGGGAGUACGGCCGCAAGGCUG